ensembl:lncRNA
GAGGGCUGUGGUUGCUUUUCUCAGGUUGUUACAAUAAGGUUUUCUGUCUUCACUGAUUUCUGAUUCCAAGUGCCCCUGUGAUGGACUUUGUACAUAAGACAGCUUAGGUCAGCUUCCUUUUUGCUGUGUGCUGGGGGCAGCAUGGAAAGAAAAAGCAGGAAGUGGACAGACAGCUAUAUUCUUCUUUCCCUUUAGAACUCUGUGUUCCUCGUAUAUCUGUAUCUAGCCCACCAUUUCUUCUUUCUUUAAUGAUUUAAAAAAUGAAUUUGGCCUCACGCUUUUAUCCUGUGUCCUUUUAGUGAAAAAGAAGGGUGUGUACAGAUGUCACUGCCCUGGAGUUCCUGGAAGCAGGCUCAUUAUAUGCUUUUCCAGGGAAAUUUGCAGAGAAAUGGACCUUUAUAGAUGCUCAGAAGCAUUCCCUACGUGAGUUUGGCUGAUAGUUUUAUGUACAGCAAUUUUGAUUAAUUGGUAUCAGGAACUGUAAACAGUCAAAGAUUUUGCCCUCUUGCAAUUUAAUGAAUUAGCUGGCCACAGUUGUGUGGAUGCCAGCAGAGGCUGGAAAUUCCUGAGUGAGAGACAAAGAACUUGAUUACUCACAGCACUGGUGGUGGCCAGAAUAUCAGUGAUUUCUUGUACACUUUCUCCAAGCUUCAGUUCUCAUCAUGCGAUGCAAACAGGACAAGGUGACACAUGCACAUAUAGGAAGGAGAAGACCUCAGAGCUUAAGGAACUCACAUCUUUUACUGAGGGCAAUAAGCAUGCUAAUCCUGUGCGCCAAAGGGCCACACACUCUCUGUCUCCCAAGGCUGUUCCCUAAACAAAAAUCCUUGAAAAGGUAUUCUAGAACAAAGACAGUCUGUGCCUCUGUUUGCAAGAUACACAGACACACCAGCCACCCCUAGAGAACUGCCUCCUGAGAGUGAGUCAGGAACAAGAGGAGGCACUCACGGAGGUGCAGAUAAAGCUGGAUGCUGAGGGAGACAGUGGACUUCAUAAAUUUCCCUAGAUCCCAUCUUGAGUUUAGUAGGGACUUGUUCUCAAGGCUUGAAGAUACCAUCCUGCCUUCCCUUCCUCUCAGGUUCUUCACCCGUGCUGUGC